AUUGAACGCUGGCGGCAGGCCUAACACAUGCAAGUCGAGCGGAUGAAGGGAGCUUGCUCCUGUAUUCAGCGGCGGACGGGUGUGUAAUGCCUAGGAAUCUGCCUGGUAGUGGGGGAUAACGUCCGGAAACGGGCGCUAAUACCGCAUACGUCCUGAGGGAGAAAGUGGGGGAUCUUCGGACCUCACGCUAUCAGAUGAGCCUAGUUCGGAUUAGCUAGUUGGUGGGGUAAAGGCCUACCAAGGCGACGAUCCGUAACUGGUCUGAGAGAAUGAUCAGUCACACUGGAACUGAGACACGGUCCAGACUCAUACGGGAGGCAGCAGUGGGGAAUAGUGGAAAAUGGGAGAAAGCCUGAUCCAGCCAUGGGGCGUGUGUGAAGAAGGUAUUCGGAUUGUAAAGCACUUUAAGUUGGGAGGAAGGGCAGUAAGUUAAGACCUUGCUGUUUUGACGUUACCAACAGAAUAAGCACCGGCUAACUUCGUG
rnacentral:rRNA from 1 species